rnacentral:lncRNA from 1 species
GUGGAUGUAGGUGCAAGGUUAGCACCGAACCACUAUAAAUCUUUGUGUUUGUGGUGUGCUUUAUCGCUUUAUCUUAUUUCUUUAUUAUAUCCUUGCAAUACUACUUUAGGUAAUUAAUAUUGAUUUAAAGCCAUUGUUUUGUUCUUCAUAAGUUAUUUGUUGGGCUUAAAAUUUUUAGAAACCCAAUUCACCCCCCCUCUUGGGUUGCAUAGCUGGGCAACAG